CACAUUGCAAACAUAUAUAUCCUCCUCAUUCCAUAGAUUCCAAUUAAUUAUUUUUUUUCCUACACUUUUUUUUAAAAAUCUUAAAUUAUCAUUAUAUUUAUGUUAUAUAAUAAUAUAAUAAUAUAUUUGUAUAAUAAUGAGUGAAUAGCAAAUAUAUACCUAUAAAGUUAAACUUUCAUAUAUUUUUUCUGCAAAAGUUCUAAUAUUUUUAAAUAUGUUCUUCUGAUUUGUUACCAUUGAAAAACUAUUUAUAUUUUUAAUUUUACCAAAAAAUAUGUCUCUGCACAAGUCAUAACACUAUAAUAUAAUACAAGUAAAAAUGUCAAAAUUUAAUCAGGGUUAAGUAUUUAACCUAUAGUUAACUAAAUUUUUUUAACGAAUUCUAACAAUAGGAAUAUAUUUGAAAACAUGAGGACUUUUACAGUGACAAUAUAUGAAAGUUGAAUUUUAUGAAAUUAUAUUUAUUAUUCACUAUAUUUGCAGAAACCUGUAUUAAAUUAACCUUAUAAUAUAAUACACAUUAAUUAAUUUACAGUGUAUGGUUGAUACCUGAGAGCUUGGUGGUUGGUAACCGAGGUUUUAAGUUCGAUUUCUAAUUGAUUCAUAUUUUCAGCUAAAUUUAUUAUGAAAAAUUAUAGUCCGUGGUUGGUAAGUCGUACAAAUA
rnacentral:lncRNA from 1 species